UAUCCUACGGGGCGCAGCAGUGAGGAAUAUUGGUCAAUGGGAGAGAUUCUGAACCAGCCAAGCCGCGUGAGGGAAGACGGCCCUAUGGGUUGUAGACCUCUUUUGUCGGAGAACAAAACCCGGGACGAGUCCCGGACUGCGUGUAUCCGAAGAAAAAGCAUCGGCUAACUCCGUGCCAGCAGCCGCGGUAAUACGGAGGAUGCGAGCGUUAUCCGGAUUUAUUGGGUUUAAAGGGUGCGUAGGCGGAAUAUCAAGUCAGCGGUAAAAAUUCGGGGCUCAACCCCGUCGUGCCGUUGAAACUGAUG
rnacentral:rRNA from 1 species